rnacentral:rRNA from 1 species
CCUACGGGGGGCAGCAGUGAGGAAUAUUGGUCAAUGGCCGGAAGGCUGAACCAGCCAUGCCGCGUGAAGGUCAGUGCCCUAUGGGCGUUAAACUUCUUUUGUGCGGGAGCAAUAAUGGUCACGUGUGGCCAGACGAGAGUACCGUACGAAUAAGCAUCGGCUAACUCCGUGCCAGCAGCCGCGGUAAUACGGGGGAUGCAAGCGUUAUCCGGAUUUAUUGGGUUUAAAGGGUGCGUAGGCUGGGAGGUAAGUCAGCGGUGAAAUGCCCCCGCUCAACGGGGUGAAGUGCCAUUGAUACUGCCUGGCUGGAAUGCGGAUGCCGUGGGAGGAAUGUGUGGUGUAGCGGUGAAAUGCAUAGAUAUCACACAGAACACCGAUUGCGAAGGCAUCUCACGAAUCCGCGAUUGACGCUGAUGCACGAAAGCGUGGGUAUCAAACAGGAUUAGAUACCCUUGUAGUC